rnacentral:rRNA from 1 species
UACAGAGGUCUCAAGCGUUGUUCGGAUUCAUUGGGCGUAAAGGGAGCGUAGGCGGGCUAUCAAGUCUGGGGUGAAAUGCCGCGGCUCAACCGUGGAACUGCCUUAGAUACUGACGGCCUCGAGGGAGAUAGGGGCAUGCGGAACUGUAGGUGGAGCGGUGAAAUGCGUAGAUAUCGCUUGGAACGCCAAUGGUGAAAACAGGUUGCUGGAAGUGUGCUGACGCUGAGACACGAAAGCCAGGGGAGCAAACGGG